UACGAAGGGGGCUAGCGUUGCUCGGAUUGACUGGGCGUAAAGGGCGCGUAGGCGGUUUGCACAGUCAGACGUGAAAUUCCUGGGCUCAACCUGGGGGCUGCGUUUGAUACGUGCAGGCUUGAGUUCGGAAGAGGGUCGUGGAAUUCCCAGUGUAGAGGUGAGAUUCGUAGAUAUUGGGAAGAACACCGGUGGCGAAGGCGGCGACCUGGUCCGAUACUGACGCUGAGGCGCGAAAGCGUGGGGAGCAAACAGG
rnacentral:rRNA from 1 species